UACGUAGGGUGCAAGCGUUAAUCGGAAUUACUGGGCGUAAAGUGUGCGCAGGCGGCCGCGCAAGUCGAGUGUGAAAGCCCCGGGCUUAACUUGGGAAUUGCGCUCGAAACUACGUGGCUGGAGUAUGGCAGAGGAAGGUGGAAUUCCACGUGUAGCGGUGAAAUGCGUAGAUAUCGGAAGGAACAUCAGUGGCGAAAGCGACUUCCUGGACCAGUACCGACGUUCAGGCACGAAAGCGUGGGGAGCAAACAGG
rnacentral:rRNA from 1 species